rnacentral:rRNA from 1 species
CUGCAGUAUCCUGACUGUGCAAAGGUAGCGCGAUAAUUUGCCUUAUAAUUGAAGGAUGGGAUGAAUGGUUUGAUAAGGAUGUAACUGUCUCUUAUAUAUAGUUUAAAAGUUAACUUUUAGGUUAAAAGGCCUAAAUUGAAUUAAGGGACGAGAAGACCCUGUUGAGCUUUAUAAGGAAUUUGUUAGUAAAGUUUUACGGUUUGUGGCUGGCUUACUGGUUCUUUGAAUUUUAGUUGGGGCGACUUGGGAACAAGAGAAACUUCCUUUGUAUUUUAAGUGAGGCUGUGAUCCAAAUAGUUUUGAACUGAGAACAAGUUACCACAGGGAUAACAGCGUGAUUUCUUUUGAGAGAGCUAAUCGAAAGGGGAGUUUGCGACCUCGAUGUUGGAUUAGGGAGUGUAAAGGUUGUAGCAGCUUUUAUAGUUAGUCUGUUCGACUAUUUGAUCCU